UGGGGAAUAUUGCACAAUGGGGGAAACCCUGAUGCAGCGACGCCGCGUGGAGGAAGAAGGUCUUCGGAUUGUAAACUCCUGUUGUUGAGGAAGAUAAUGACGGUACUCAACAAGGAAGUGACGGCUAACUACGUGCCAGCAGCCGCGGUAAAACGUAGGUCACAAGCGUUGUCCGGAAUUACUGGGUGUAAAGGGAGCGCAGGCGGGAAGACAAGUUGGAAGUGAAAUCCAUGGGCUCAACCCAUGAACUGCUUUCAAAACUGUUUUUCUUGAGUAGUGCAGAGGUAGGCGGAAUUCCCGGUGUAGCGGUGGAAUGCGUAGAUAUCGGGAGGAACACCAGUGGCGAAGGCGGCCUACUGGGCACCAACUGACGCUGAGGCUCGAAAGUGUGGGUAGCAAACAGGAUUAGAUACCCUGGUAGUCCAUGCCGUAAACGAUGAUUACUAGGUGUGGGGGGACUGACCCCUUCCGUGCCGCAGUUAACACAAUAAGUAAUCCACCUGGGGAGUACGGCCGCAAGGUUGAAACUCAAAGGAAUUGACGGGGGCCCGCACAAGCAGUGGAGUAUGUGGUUUAAUUCGACGCAACGCGAAGAACCUUACCAAGUCUUGACAUCCUGCGACGCACAUAGAAAUAUGUGUUUCCUUCGGGACGCAGAGACAGGUGGUGCAUGGUUGUCGUCAGCUCGUGUCGUGAGAUGUUGGGUUAAGUCCCGCAACGAGCGCAACCCUUAUGGUCAGUUACUACGCAAGAGGACUCUGGCCAGACUGCCGUUGACAAAACGGAGGAAGGUGGGGAUGACGUCAAAUCAUCAUGCCCUUUAUGCCCUGGGCCACACACGUGCUACAAUGGCCGGUACAGAGAGAAGCAAUCCCGUGAGGAGGAGCAAAUCUCACAAAGCCGGUCUCAGUUCGGAUUGGAGUCUGCAACUCGACUCCAUGAAGCUGGAAUUGCUAGUAAUCGCAGAUCAGCAUUGCUGCGGUGAAUACGUUCCC
rnacentral:rRNA from 1 species